AAGACCUGGAUAUAUUGUCUUUCCUCAUCUUCUGAUCUUGCCCUACUUCCUUGAGGCGUUCGCUGCUCUGCCAGCUUUGAUGGUAUGUAGACAGCGAGUUCUUUGGUGUCCUGGUGGCCUUUUAUCCCUAACUCUUCCCAACAUAAUUGCUUUCUCCAGUGAAUUCCACCGCAUGACAUGGCCAAAAUAAGUGAGACACAGUUUCAUGAUUUUGCUUUCCAGUGACAGGUCUGAUGUUAUGCCCUUCUGUGCUUGCUUGUUAGUCAUCUUUACUGUCCAGGGAAUAUGCAGGCACCUUCUCCAGCACCACAACUCA